GAAAAAAAUGGACUUAGUGGGUCUUUGAAUUUAAAUAAAAUAAACAUGUAUAUGCAAGACAAAAUAUUUAUAUUCCUUGUGUAAACAUAAUUUAAUUGAUUAGGAUUAAAAUGUUUUGUUUGAAUGUAAAAUGAACACAUUAUUCUCACAUUGAUUAAAAUUGAUUGAAUUGAAUACUUAAAACAAUAAAAUUGGGUUUGGACACAAAACGGCACCUCCUGAGCAGCAGGGGCAGUAUAGCUCAUUGAGAAGGACAUCGAUUGCCAUAAAAGAAGAAUAAAGAUCGUUUUUUUGGGCGCCAAAAUGAAGACUACAGUAAGCACAGCAGUCACUGCCAGUCAGUCAGAAGAACUCUCUCAGACGGACACCACGUUAUUAAAGUCCAUCAUCCUUGCAUGCGCUACACAGCAUUGAUAAAUGCUGAAUUUGAAAGAAUCACUACUGUCUAAUGUUCCUGUGUCACCUGGACCUCCAAUCCAAAAACCUGACGAAACUCUUCUAUCAGAAAGGAGGACAGCUAGCAAAAAGGCUUCAAACAAUCAAUGAUCAAAUGACAGAUGGCAUGGAUGAAGUCAGCAUCAGUGAGGUCAUUUGAAGACACCAAUGUUGGGAUUUGUGCUCUCAAACAACCUGCUUCUUGUGAUGAAGAAGAGGAUCUUUGUAUAGUCCUGGAAGGCAUGAAGGUGUUGCAACAUCGUGCCAUGUUGUUUGAGCUGAUGUAUGCCUUAAACCUGAGCUAUCCUGAUCUCCGCUUUAUUUUUGAGGAAAUCCAAAAGAUUUUAAUGGAACUGCAUUGAGAGUAGUCUCAGCCUCAGAAGUCACGCCCACAAACUGUUGGCUGAACGUCUGAUGUUUUUCGUACACUUUUCUGGAAACCCUGUGAGAAUGUUAAAGUCGUCUUUGAUUGGUUGAAAAAAAACGGAUUUCCAGGAGAUGCGAGUGUCGCGAUUAGUUUCGGUCCCUGGAAAACAAGGCUCUGACGUUCCCGUUGAGGAAGAGAAUCAGUCGUGUUCACGUGGAUAAUAAUGAGCAGUUAUCAUGAUCAGCUAAACAUUGGAUUUUCAAAAAUAUGCAAAGUUCGCGGCAUCGACUCUCUAAAAGAUGUCCAAGAGUUUUGCUUGAGGCAGUUAGUUGAGUCAAAAAGUUUGGUUCUCCUGAAUUGCUUGUAUGUGUUAAAAAGUAGAGAGAUAUGCUUCAAACAGACGUUUAACGGGAGCAUCUCAUUGGUGUGGCUGUUGAUGAAGUGCACAACGUUGUUCUAUGGUGAGUAAUGUUGUUUAUUUAGAUGCUAUUCGGUUGCGACUGGUUAUUUCAAAACCUGACUUGUUGCCAGCCGGCUCGUUAUUGUAGUCCAAAACGUGACGCUAGAUGAAACAAACUGUGAUUGGUUGUUUGAUAUGUCGGUCAAACAGCUCGUGGGCGGGCUUUGUCCAGAAAAAGCAGCGAAAAACACCAGACCUUCAGUAUUGAAGGUCUGGCUACGCGAGACUACAUUGAGAGUAACUUUAACGAACAGUUUCUUUCAGUGAAAGGAUCAGAAAGACUGUGCUGCUCAUUUUUGACUUUGUUUAUCUGUUUUAAGUGUUUUCUCUUAUUAAUACAUCAACCGUUUGCUGCUCAUAGUCGAUUUUGGAAAUGGUUGUUGUAUUUUGUUUUUGUUGAAUCUAUGAUUAACAGUUUAUACAAAUGCUGUAGCUCUGACUUUCUGAAGGAUUGAUAUUUUCCAGUUUGUAAAUCCAUUUUAUAAAUAAUAGUACUUACUGUUUUGCAUGUCUCUUUGGAAUGCAGUGUUUGUGCUUUAGCACUUCUAAAUCUACUGUGAUAGUAACUAUUUUAAACAUUUGGGUCAGUUUCAUCCUAAUAUAACUAGGGCCUAGUCAUGAAUUAAUCUACAACCUGUUUGGGAAAUUGCCCCUUUAUGUAUGUACUGCAUGUGCUGAUUGUUGUAAUAGUUAUUGACUGUUAUUGAAUUAAUGUGUAGUGAUUUAAAUGAAUUGAUGAUCUGAAAGCAGUGGUUUGCCUCAAUAUCACUAAACAUUUGUACAAAACUCUUCACUUUUUAUGCCAAUGCAAAUGUAUUUUGUAUUUAAAAAGAAAUAAAUAACAUUUGGAUAA